AACGAACGCUGGCGGCAGGCUUCAUACAUGCAAGUCGAGCGCACCUUCGGGUGAGCGGCGGACGGGUUAGUAACGCGUGGGAAUGUGCCCUUCACUACGGAAUAGCCUCGGGAAACUGAGAGUAAUACCGUAUACGCCCUUCGGGGGAAAGAUUUAUCGGUGAAGGAUCAGCCCGCGUAAGAUUAGAUAGUUGGUGGGGUAAUGGCCUACCAAGUCUACGAUCUUUAGCUGGUUUGAGAGGAUGAUCAGCAACACUGGGACUGAGACACGGCCCAGACUCCUACGGGAGGCAGCAGUAGGGAAUCUUCGGCAAUGGGCGAAAGCCUGACCGAGCCAUGCCGCGUGAGUGAUGAAGGCCUUAGGGUCGUAAAGCUCUUUCGCCUGGGAUGAUAAUGACAGUACCAGGUAAAGAAACCCCGGCUAACUCCG
rnacentral:rRNA from 1 species